rnacentral:tRNA from 1 species
AGCCCCGUGGUGUAGAACACAUCGGAUUGCAAAUCCGGGGACGCGGAUUAACACCCGCCGGGGCUU